CCGCCGUGUGUCCCCACCAGAACCACCUCUUCCCCGUCUCAAGGGCAGAUAGUUCUUGCACGGUAUCUCUCUGGGUCUGCCUGCGUUGGAGAGAGAGUUACAUCGGUUCUCCCCUACGGCAGUCCCUUGGAAGCCCCCUGCCCGAAAGCGCCCAUGGAUCGUCGAUAUCAGCAUCAUCCCUGACCUGAAUAUAUGUCCAGACACCAAAUCACGGCCAGACCACCAUUAUUCAACAUUUGAUACGCACGAUGACCCAAAUCGCCAAAAUGAAACAAGCAGCUAUCUCAGCCAAUCAAGUCGUUGCUAUCGGCAAAAACUAGCUUCCCAAGCCCACUCAUGAUUUCUUUUUUUCAGUUUGCUUGCGUGCCCUCCUCCCCCAUUUUUUUUUUGCGAAGUUCCUCCUCCACGAAUUAGCUCAUCCACUAACCAGGUAAGUUCAGACCAGUCCCCGCCAGACUUGUGCUAAAACCCGACUACUCCAAAAGCAAGGCUUUCAUAGGGGCAAAGAGCCAAAAAAGAGAGAUAGCAUCUUGCAGAUCGCAAGCGAUCAGUCCCUAGGAUAGAGUUCGCUUCGUUGGCUUUUGCGCAUCCAUCGUCCUUCAUGUGAACGGUGGUGGUUCAUCACUGGCUAACUCUAAUCAGGACGGCUGAGCACGAGCUCGUGAUGAUGGUGAUAGUGCACGCUAUGGUGGUCACAGCUUUUGGUGAUAGUCAGGAAAGACGAGACAGGAGCACUGUACAUUUCCAUUUCCUUGAUAUUGGAGCUACGAGCAGGAAUAAAUAAAUAGUAGAUAAUAAAAGUAGAUAAUAAAUAUACAUGCCAUGCACGGCUUGAAACUUGCUUUUAUGCAUGUUGCCGGAUUGCCAAAUCUUUGGAGCGCAACGCGCGGAAGCUCUCCACUCCCGCCAAGAUCGGAGGUUUAAAGGGGGGAUAUUUACGAAAAAGGAAAGGAAGAAAAAGAAAAGACAAAACGGGCAAAACAUGUAAAAAAGAAAAGAAAAGAAAAGAAAAGAAAAGAAAAGAAAAGAAAGAGAAAACACCACGUUCCUUGGGAUGGC
rnacentral:sRNA from 1 species